GUUGAUAGGAUAGGGCACCCUAAAAAACUGGGGAGAGGAGUUUGGGGUCGGGGCCUCGGAAAGGCGGGAGGUGCCCCACCGCUUUAGAAGCCUGGCGCAGUGCACGACGGGACGCCCCCGGGAAGGGGCGGAGCCGUGUCCGGGCUGCGGUUGGGAAAGCGCCGUCACUUGGAGGGGCGUGUUGAAGAGGGUUUCGCGGGCUCGAGCGGGGGAGGGGGGACCGUUAAAACCCUGCACCGCGCCCACAGGAAGCUGCUUUAAUGGCUAGGUCUACUUGGUACCAGGCUUUCGGCUGGGAAGGACCUUGAAGACCGUGCGGUUCAACUUCCAAUUUGCAGAUGUGGAAACUGAAGCCGAGAGAGGGCACGUGGGAUCUUAGCUCUCCGACCAGGGCUCAAACCUACACCCCCUGCACUGGAAGGUGAAGUCUUAACCACUGGACCGCCAGGGAAGUCCCCCUGCCAGAUGACGACCUGAGUUCCAGAGAGUGCCUUGCCGAAGGUUGCACAAGUCAGCGUUGGAGCCUCUAGCAGAACUCAGGUCUCCUGGCACCCAGUGAUGCAUUAAAAUACUUUUUUAAAAACUGUGGUUAAAAAAAAUUACCAUCAACCAUUUUUAAGUGUAUAGUUCAGUAGUGUUAAGUAUAGUCACAUGGUUGUGUAACAAAUCUCUAGAACUUACUCAUCUUGCAAAACUGAAACUUUAUAUCCAUUGAACAACAACUCUCUACUUUCCCCUCACCCCUGCCCCUGGCAACCACCAUACACUUUCUGUGUCUAUGAAUUUAAGUAUUCUAGAUACCUUCUGUAAGUGGAAUCACACAGUGUGUGUCUCUGUGAUUGGCUCAUUUCACUUAGCAUAUGUCCUCGAGGUUGAUACAUUUCCUCCCUUAAGGCUGAACAGUAUUACAUUGUUUGUAGCACAUUUUGUUUAUCCAUUCUUCCAUCAACAGACACUUAGGUUGCUUCCACCUUUUAGCUAUUACGAAUAAUGCUGCUCUGAGCAUGGGUAUACACGUAUCUGAGAUCUUGUGUUCAGUUCUUUUGGAUAUAUACUUGGAAGUGAGAUUCCAGUAAUGCAUUUUUUAAAUUCUCCAUCUCAUUCCAAAAAUGAUUUGAGGCCACUGUCCCAGCACCUUCAUAAGUAUUAAAAAAAAAAAAGUUCUGAAUUUCUAAUGAAUGAACAAAGGGGCCAGAAUGGAACAGAGGAGACAACAGAAAGGAGUGGCCUAUGAGAAGUCUGGUAGAAUAAAGCUUUUUACCUUUACCCUCGGGAAGUAGCUGCAAAUAAUUAAGAUCCACCAGAGAUGGACUGGAGUGGCCAAAGCUUGUUUUCUCAUCUACAUAAAGGUCUCCAAAACAUUCACAGAGUAAAUAAGCCCUGUGCAUAUGAAAGGGUCACAAAGGAGGGAUUCGGUAUUCAUGAUACCUGGUCUGUACAGGGGUGGGUGCACAAACUCAGAUAUUCUGGGCCUGUCAUGCGACCUUCAUAAAGGAUCUAGUCAGAGUGGGGACUGUGGUAGAGUAUGCUGGUCAUAAGUCUGUACUCAGCUCCAGACAUGGAUGUCAGAUCUUGAUUUUUCAAGAAAAACUAGAUACCCCUGAAACUAAUACAACAUUAUAAGUCAACUAUACUUCAAUAAAAUUUUGAAAAGCUGGCAAUCUGGAUUUUUAUGUGAAAUACCAUGAUUUUUUAAAGCUGGCAUUUAAAUUUUCAAAAAGAUUUAAAAGGCAUUGUGUAAAUCAAAGACGAAAUACAAGUCUGCAACCUCUGGUGUGUGGUACUGUGGACAUUUAUGGUAGUUAGUGACCUCUGGGGAAGAAUUGUGUCUGGUUUGUUUGGCCAGGGCUAGGAAGAGGUUAAUGGGGCCUAAAUCAAAUGCCUGUACCUGCACAAGCUCUGCCCUUCUGUCCUCGGGUAAAGUUUAAUGUGUUGCAGGCAGAGAGGAAGUGGCCUAAAAUGAACCAUUAAGUUCUCCUGGUAGCAUAUCUGUGCCGGUCAGACAGGAGAGGAGGGCCCCCAAUUUCACAUCAUUUCUGUGAGAUUCGUCUGUGCCUACUUCACAGAACCGCUGUAAGAAUAAAACAUCACAGAUUUGGAAAGGUGUUGAAUUUCUCCUAAAAUGUAAUGCAGGUGCUAACUGGGAUAAUUAUCUUGCUGUGAAGAGCUCAGAAGAGUGUAAUGUUUUGGGAACAGCUUCUACAAAAGCUGACCUAGGAGAUGCUGGGCCCCAGCUGUGGCUGGAAGAAAUGAAGGGGAAAGAAUGUGUCAGCCGUUGUGCUCUGGUGGGUUUGAGAAGGAGGCAGAACACUGAUCUUUCCUGGAAGUGACAUUGAGGAGUCAGUGUGGAGUUGAGAAAUACAUGUGGCCAUAAAUGGCAUGACCCUGCUCCAAACAGCUCAGCUCAUGCCUGGCUUCGUGAACCGCACACUGGAAGUUUCAACUGAAAUAAACUUCUGACCUUUCCAUCAGUUCCUUUAAGUCAGAGUUUUAUAUGUUAUAGACUAUUUCAGGGACUUCCCUGGCAGUCCAGUGGUUAAGACUCCUCACUUCCACUGCAGGGGGCACGGGUUCGAUCCCUGGUCGGGGAACUAAGAUCCUGCAAGCUGCAUGGCACGGUCAGAAAAAAAAAAAAAGACAAUUUCAUAUUCCCACUUAGAAGAUUUGAACUGUUACUUCUAUUACUUAAGAAAGCAGCAGCACUGCUUAUUACUACUACUGGUAUCAUAAUGUUAGUAAUAUUCCUAUCAUGCUUUAUAACUUACAAGACCUUUCACUUGCAUUCUUCUCAUUUUGUUUCCUGGUAACUCAGAUUAUUAUUUCUCACUUUACAGAUAAGGAAACUGAUGGUUUCCCAUUGUCCUUUAGCUAAAGUUUAGAAUCUUCAACGUGACUUAAGUCCCUCCCUAGUCUGGGCCUUGCCUACCUCUCCAGAUCCCUCUUUCACUACCUUCCCAAGACCUCUCUUUGUUCCAGCUAUUCUGGGUUUCUUUUGAGUUCCUUAAGUAGGUCAGGUUCUCUCCAGCCAUAGGCCUUGUGUAGCAUGUGCUGUUUCUUCCACCUAGAACACUUUUCCCUGUCCUCUUUGCCUGGCUAGCAACUACUCAUCUUUUGGGUCUCAGUUUAACACCAUUUCUUCACGGGAGCCUUUCCUGAACAUUGAGGCUAUGUUGGACUCCCCAGUAAUAUCCUUUUUCCCCCCG